rnacentral:lncRNA from 1 species
CUGGAGCUAGAAGGGGGCAGGGAAAUGGGACGAUGACCAGAUGUGGCCCAUGGCAAGGCCGUGCAUUGUGAAGGGAGGAGGAGGGUCUGAGAUCCGGGAGCCCUGCAGAGAGUUUGCUGAAGAGUGAAGAAAGGACGGCGUUAGUAAUGGGAUGAGGGAUACUGGAGUCCGAAUUAACAUAGCACACAGAGAGAUAUUCAGGAAAAUACAUCAUAUCUUGCACUUGGGUGGAAAAGAGCAGAAAUCCUUGGUUAACAGGAUUAUACGCAAUGGUGCAGAAAGCAUUCUCUAAAGAAAAAUCAGAGAGGAAGAAACACUGCAUGGAGAAUCCAAGAAACACUCUAAGAAUUGAAGUUAAAAUGUCGGAGAAUGUACAUCAGCAAUGCACGCAUGUGUUCCUUUUGCGCCGCAUCACUGCUUCCCUGAAGAAGCCCGGCUCACACCACAAGGACAACAACAAGCACGCAGGAGAGAGUAGACUGGGGUCAGACAGAGCAAUUGCAAUCUUCCACUUUGAUUUCCUGAGAACAUAGUGGUGGGCAGAAACGUGCUAUCAAAAAA